GUUAAUUUCAAAAUUUUAUAAUAUUUAAAUUGUCCAAAUUCUAAAAAGUCAUAAUAAACUUGAAAAAUAUGAAAUUUUGCCUCGCUUUUUGCAAUAUAUAAUGAUCUCUCAAAAUAGAGUAGAUUUUUUUUGAACUCAAACUUGAAAAGAUUAUGAAAUUUUAAAAGAAUUAUUCUUGAUAUCAUAGAGAAGAGAAGCACAUGACAUACUUACUUGAAUUUUUGUCAGAAAGGUUGAAUCAAUAAUUAAUGUAAAUUUUAUUCUUCUAAGGUGAAAAUGCUCCAACUUUUAGAAAAUUAUUCUUUGUUGAUCAAAAUAUUCAUUUUCUCUUUUUGGUAUAUUUUUCUAACUUUGCAUAUAAUCUUGCAUCUCUAAGUUUUUGUAACAUAUAACAAACAAAAAUUUCAUACUCUUUUGUAUUCUUAGAAUAGGUUGAGGGAUCAUCCAAAUAUCAGAAGAUAAAAUCAUCAAAAAAUUUACAAAAGACAUCAUUCAUUAAAUGUUCAAAAAUAGCUGGUCCAUUUGAGACUCCAAAAGGUAUGAUAUUAUAUUCAAA
rnacentral:lncRNA from 1 species